CCAGGGAGAGAGAGAGAGAGAGAGAGACAGAGAGGCAGAGACUCAAAACCCUAACCUCUGGUUUUCGAGAGAGGGAGAGGGUUUGUAAAGCAUUUGAGUGGAAGCUGUAAUUCAAGAAAUGGUUUCUUGCUCUGGAACCGAGGGAAGAUUGAAUUGUGGAAACCUUAGCUCUGUGGAAUGUCAUCGUCGCCGGAGAAGAGUCGUCUGAGUUCGGACGCCUGGCUGAAGGACCAUUCGCUCCGGCAUGUGGUUGUCAAAAUGCGCCGCCACUCUUUAUCCGAAACGCCGCCCUCAGAGUCCGACGAAACCCCGACUCUAGAGUCGGCCGGGCCUGAUUUCACUGCCCUCCUUUCCGACGAGCUUCUCCAACUGGUCUUCUCGAAGCUUCCCGAGUCUCAACACGUUCCCAAUUCCUUGGUUUGCAAGCGCUGGUUGAGGCUUACAGGCCGUCUCGUUCGCUCUAUCAGGGUUUUGGAUUGGGAAUUUCUUCAAUCUGGUAGGCUUGUGCAUCGCUUUCCUAAUCUCGUCGAUGUUGAUCUUGUUCCGGCUUGUAUUCAUUCUUCUCAGAAUUCUGAAAUAUUGUUGACCCACAAAAUUGUAUCGCUUCACGUUGAUUCAAGUUUGUUUGAAGGUGGAUUUUUGCGGAAACAGGAUUUAUUGCAUUCGGAUUUAGUUGAUAGAGGUGUUCGGAUUUUAGCCGAGGGUUGCCCUAAUUUGAGCAGGCUUGUUGUAAUAGGUGCUAGUGCCAAAGGCUUGUCGUGUAUUGCGGACGAUUGCCUGAUGCUGCAAGAAUUAGAGCUGCAUUGCUGCCCUGAUCUGUCUUUUAAAGGAAUUUCGGGUUGCCAGAAUUUACAGAUUCUGAAAUUGGUUGGUUGUGUUGAUGGGUUUUAUGAUUCAGUGGUUUCAGACAUUGGGUUGACGAUUUUGGCACGAGGCUGUAGGCGAUUAGUGAAACUUGAGCUGGUUGGUUGUGAGGGGAGCUAUGAUGGGAUCAAAGCUAUUGGGCAGUGCUGCCAAAUGCUUGAGGAGCUGACCUUAUGCAACCACAGGAUGGAUGGUGGGUGGUUGGCAGCACUUUCUUACUGUUCAAAUUUGAAGACUCUGAAACUUCAAUCUUGCAAGAUUAUUGAUUCAAGUCCAGGGCCUGAUGAGCAUAUAGGUUCUUGUGAAACACUUGAACAAUUACAUUUACAGAGGUGUCAAAUGCGGGAUAAGCAAGGUGUGAGAGCAUUGUUUCUAGUUUGCGAGGCUGUUAGGGAGCUCCUUUUUGAGGACUGUUGGGGGUUCGAGGAUAAUGUGUUUGGCAUGGCUAGUAUUUUUAGAAGCGUACGGCUUUUAUCUUUGGAAGGGUGCUCAUUACUGACAACUGAAGGGUUAGAAGCAGUAGUUAUUUCAUGGAAAGAGCUUAAAGAGCUUAGAGUAGUCUCAUGUAACAGUAUAAAGGAUAGUGAAAUCACUCCAGCAUUGGCGACCUUGUUUUCUGUUCUUAAGGAGUUGAAGUGGCGGCCAGAUUCAAAAUCUCUUCUAUCAUCAGGUCUUGAAGGGAGUGGGCUGGGAAAGAAAGGGGGCAGAUCCUUCAAGUGGGUGUGAAAAAUUGAGCCUAAUAUUCUCUUGCUGAGAAGUCAAGCUUAUGCUAAAUGGAUGCUUGCAGCUACAAUGAUGGAUGACUUACGGUAAAAGCAUGGAAGAUGCAAUGUGUGGAGCUGAAGACUUGGAUAUUGCAAGUCAUACUGAGCAGUUAUUGGCUUCAAACUGCUCUACAUAGAUAUUAGUAUUAUGAAGGUUGUGGAUUUUUUGAGACUGAAUUCCAUGGGGAAAACAUCAUUAAGGCUGCUGCUCGUCAACUUUGCCAGGAAGCUCAGUACUGUCUAAAUGUUGGCUUUACUUGAUGCUGUUGUCUUCUUGGUCUUUUAUUAGUGAGUUCAUGCUGUUUAUUUGAGGUGUUCUAGGUAGGUUCUUUGUGUUCUCUUUUCUGUGGCUAGUGAGAAAUCUCAAGUGUUUGAUAAAUAUAGAUGCAAUUUCACUAAGAUGGUAAGUUCUUUUUUUUUUUAUUGUUUUUAUUUUCCCUCAGUUGUUUAUACUUUCUGGGUUUUGAUUCUCUGUGUUUAUUUUUAUUUUUUCAUCAGAGUGAAGAGCCUCACGCUGUACAACAAUGAAGAGUUUGUUUUUUGCUUCUUGGACAGAAUUUCUUGCUCGCAUGGCUUAGAUGGGGGAAUGCUAGAGUUGGAAAUUGUUUUGGGAUUAGUAAUAAUUUGAUAAUCUUUUUUUUACCAAAAUAAUAUUAUUUGAAUCAAAUGCUGGAUUAAUUGUUUUCAGAAAUCCAAAAUAGAGGACAGUUUUGUAUAAGAAUAACUAAUGAAAAAUCCAAAAACAAGAGUGGACAGUGAUUCAUAAUCUAAGGAGAAUCUGGAGUUAGGUCGGUUGUGUUAUAAAUGCACCAAUGUGCGGAGAGCAAGAAAGAGCAAUCAAGCGAAGAAAUCAAAGAGGACAAACGUGAAAGACAAUCAAAGAUAUGGCUUUAAAUGGAGGAGCAGCAGCUGCCAAUCUGCGGAGGAGGAGGAGGAGAACAACAAGUGCAGCUGGCACUAGUAUGCUCCAGUUUUACGCAGAUCAUGAUGGCCCGGGGGGGGGGGGGCGUUACUCAAGAUCUCUCCCAACGUCGCCCUCGUGAUCAGCAUUGGUUUCAUAGCAUUUGUUGCCAUUCUUCAUGUCGGGCAAAGCUGUAUUUCGUCUUAAGUAGGAUCCUAUGGCUGGGUAGCUAGCUAAGAUUAAUCUUCUUUUGAAUUUUGUACGGUCAUUCUCUGUUAUUUUUAUGAAUUCUAUAGCUUCAUUACCUGCUGCUUGCAAUCUUUUGGUUAAAUAAUGAGCUUGAGCUGAGAACAAGAUGCUCUUCAAUUCCAGAGAAUUCACUUUCUAGUAGAUCUUAUG